rnacentral:rRNA from 1 species
UACGUAGGGUGCGAGCGUUACUCGGAAUUACUGGGCGUAAAGUGUGCGCAGGCGGCCGAGCAAGUCGAGUGUGAAAGCCCCGAGCUUAACUUGGGAAUUGCGCUCGAAACUACUUGGCUGGAGUGUGGCAGAGGAAGGUGGAAUUCCAGGUGUAGCGGUGAAAUGCGUAGAUAUCGGGAAGAACACCCGUGGCGAAGGCGGCUCUCUGGGACGGUACUGACGCUGAGACGCGAAAGCGUGGGGAGCAAACAGG